CACACGCGGACAUGCGCGCUCCUGUCUCAAGGCGGCGCUCCGGUGGCUGGACGUCCAGCCCAUCGUCCGCGGAGGUCCAACCGGAGAGAAACUA
rnacentral:sRNA from 1 species